CUCACUGCAGGGAGCUCCUGCGGCUGCCAGUGAGUAAGGAAAACAGAUGGCUGUUGCUUUUGAAGCCACUAACACAUCCAUUUCUCUGCCUUUUGUGUAUUUUUUCUCUUUCCCCUCAAGUUUCCAACUCCUGCAGUAGCCCUGGGAGCAACCAGGCAUUGGUAGACAUGUUGGAAGGCAGCCACACAGGCGGCUACUCUGAAGGACUGUGGGACUUUUUCUUCCCCUUAACUUUCUGGAACUUCUAUUAUGUUUGUGUGCUGAUUGGAAGAAAAGAGAUGGUGCCUUUAAGUACCAACCAGAACACCAGCUCAAAUUCAACAUCACAAGAAUUCAGUCAUCUUCUACUGUUUCUGUUUCAGAUGUUCUGCCUUAUCCCCCCGUCCAGACCAGAAACCUUGCUGUAACAUCAUA
rnacentral:lncRNA from 1 species